rnacentral:rRNA from 1 species
GGGGGGGGGGGGGGGCGGGGGGGGGGGGUGCGGGGCGAGCGGGGGGGCCCGGCGUGGGUGGGGGGCGCGGGGGGCGAAGGGGGGAGGAAGACGGGAGGAGCCUGCCCUGGACGUUGGGACAAGUUCCGGACACUGGGGCUAAUACCGGCGACGCGCUCCGGCUGCACGGGGGGGCGCUGAAAGUUUCGGCGGUUGGGGAUGGACUCGCAGCUUCUCUGCUUGUUGGUGGGGUAGUGGCUUACCAAGGCUUUGACGGGUAGCCGCACUGAGAGGGUGACCGGCGACAUUGGGACUGAGGUGCGGCCCAGACUCGUACGGGAGGCAGCAGUGGGGAAUAUUGCGGAAUGGGCGGAAGCCUGAUGCGGCGACGCCGCGUGCGGGAUGACGGCCUUCGGGGUGUAAACCGCUGUCGCCUGUGACGAAGCGUGAGUGACGGGAAUGGGUGAAGAAGCACCGGCUAACUACGUG